CCCCUCACUCAACCAAGAGUAUAUUGAAUCGCCUGCAUCGCCAUGUUCUUUUCCCAAUGGCUGUCACAGCGCCCGACUCCUAGCGUCCUACGGUCAUCAAUCUCCUGAUUACAACUCAAUAAAACUAGCAAGUAAUUUGCGCUAUACAGCGGACCAUAUUUAAAUGAUGAAAGAAAAAUUAAUAAAAUACAAUAAUAAUAAAAUAAUAUUUUUUGGGUACAUAUAGUUUUUUUUUUUUUUUUAAUUCUGGUCUCUACCUUCUUGCCUUGGAGCAAUUUCAAAUAUGGCGAUCCCUCCGCACUGAACAUGAAUGACAACAAUGCCAUGUUCGCCAGCAUCGUCCAAGCUUCCUUUUUGACCGCUCCAAACCUCCCACCCGAUUGAAACUCCUAAACUUCUCGACAUGUGGCAUAUUGAAACAUUACUCCACAAUCUGCCGUAUCAACACGAAAUAUCACCCAUCGCUUUAUUAUUAUUAUUAUUAUAUAGAUCGAAGGAGCUGGACUUGAAAGCAGGAAUAAUCGGACCAGCCGCGUUAUCAACUAAAUUCUGGUAGCCGCUCGGCGCCAUACAAAUUUCCGGUAAUACCUGUCCCACGAGCAUCCCAAGGUCUCAGCAUUUUAAAGGUUUCCUCGAUUU
rnacentral:lncRNA from 1 species